CUUCCCCUCUCGUGUUUCCCUAUCUAUAGGCUGGAUUCAGAGGAGUUGAGCUUUUGGGAAAUAGCCUGGCCAUAAGACAGAAGGAGCUUGGAUUUCAUUUGAGUAUGACUCACCAGUCACAAAAUACUAAUUAUACUUUAUGUGUUCAAAGGCAGUAAAAAUGUUUGAAGUUUGUGGGAGAAGAACCUUUUCCAUUCUCUUUUUCUCCAGACCUUCCCAAAACCCAACAACUCAAGUUUUACAGGGAGAGCAAAACAUUGAAGGAGAACUCACACCUGGCUUAAUUUUUCUUAAAUCUUGAAAACACUAAAAGAAGCAAGAAAAUCCUUCCUAAUUGAAGCCAAGUUUCUUCAUUUGUGGGCACAAUGAUGAUUAAUCAUUGGAACUUUACUUUAAAAAGUGAAAAGUCAAUUAAGUGUAAGUACAGGUCUUCUUUUCUUUUGAGUAAGAAUAGAUAAAUAUUAAUAAUAUCUAAUUUCUUAUAUUUCUCAUGUAGAAUAAACUACAACUGUUAAAAAUUUCUCAGCAAUUUCUUUAUUAAAAUGCUAUUUUUCCAUUGCAACUUAUAAGAAUUCUUCUUGGUAAACUUUGGACCACAAGCUUUCCACUUAUCUGUUAUGCAAAACAGUU
rnacentral:lncRNA from 1 species